UUCCCACCCAGGGGGCUCCCUCGCGGCUGCGGUGAGCAGGCAGUGCGGGCGCGGCGUUCCGCAUGACCACCUCGCCGGGUCCGGGCAUCGCCCGCGGGACCGAUGGGCCCCCGCGGCCACCCUCGCCAGGCGCACCCACCCCGAGCUUCCCACGCCGGGGCGGGCAAGCGCAACACCUUCUCCUACCUUCCAGCCGCCGAGGACCGCACUCUCCGCUCAGCCCUCUCGACUCAUCCUCUGGCUGCAGGGAGGGCGAGCGGGCUCUGCUUUUGUUCCCUGGGGCUGGCAGGUCCGUGUGGGGCCUGGGCGCGCGGGGGAUGUCGAGGAGCUGGGUAUCCCGGACAGGGGAUGCUCACUCCCAGCAGCUCCGCCCGCAGCAGCGGCGGCAGUGGCGGCGGCGGCAGCAGCAGCAGCAGCAGCGGCAGAGAUAGUGCCGGCUCUCUGCAGGCCACAUCUUUCAUACCUUAUACAUCACUACCGCAUUCCCCCGAAUAGGGGAGCCCCAUAGCAUUUCGCCACCUAGCGCAGAAUGCAGGCGCCCACAGCAGCGGUGGAGGGGACCUAGCCGGGAUGCGAGCACCGCGAGAGGAGAAGGACCUCAGCACCCGCUCGCAGGCUCUCUCCCCGCUCCAAUCAUCGCGAGGCCUGCAACUUGUAGCAGCCAUUCUGCAGUCCUGACCUAGGAUUGUCUGUUCCCCAGGGAGGUCCGGACUUCAGGCCAAGCAACACAGUUUAUUAGGGGGAGCCCUCUCCCAGUUUCCACUCGGGUCUUGGCCAGCACAUGCGUCCUCCUCGCUGGAGUCUCCGCACACGAGGCUUUGCAGCAGCAGACACACACCCUCUUGCAUGUGCGUAAGCCCGCGAGACACAUUUCUGCGCUCCCCACCAACCAGUGUGUGCGUCCAGGAGCAGGACUGCUGUGAGAAGCCAGUGAGAUAAGCACAGAGCUUGACACCGGUCAUGCGAUGGCAAAUGAUGGAGCUUUUCUUCUUCAGCCAGUGCAGGUCUGCCCUUCCUGGGACAGUAAGAUAUCAGCCACAAUUCACUCACUCAGUCUGCUAGAGGGAAAGCCCACUUGAUUGGCACCCCUGGAGCUUGGAUGUGAAUUUCUCCUACCAGUCUCCGAGGACCCCUUUCCUCAACUUGAAAGUGUAAAUAAUAAUAUGUUUUCUCGUUAAAUUAUUGUGAGGAUUAAACAAGAUGACAAAGGCACCUGAGGCUAAAUAGUCAUUAAUUUCCUCUUCGCCAUAACCCUCAUGUUGAGGUCUUCCAGACUGCCCCUCCAGGAGCCCCCGGAGGGUUCCUA
rnacentral:lncRNA from 1 species